rnacentral:rRNA from 1 species
UACGGAGGAUCCAAGCGUUAUCCGGAAUCAUUGGGUUUAAAGGGUCCGUAGGUGGGCCGUUAAGUCAGAGGUGAAAUCCUGCAGCUCAACUGUAGAAUUGCCUUUGAUACUGGCGGCCUUGAAUUACUGUGAAGUGGUUAGAAUAUGUGGUGUAGCGGUGAAAUGCAUAGAUAUCACAUAGAAUACCGAUUGCGAAGGCAGAUCACUAACUGUACAUUGACUCUGAUGUUCGAAAGCGUGGGGAGCGAACAGG